GAUGAACGCUGGCGGCGUGCCUAAUACAUGCAAGUCGAGCGAACAGACGAGGAGCUUGCUCCUCUGACGUUAGCGGCGGACGGGUGAGUAACACGUGGAUAACCUACCUAUAAGACUGGGAUAACUUCGGGAAACCGGAGCUAAUACCGGAUAAUAUAUUGAACCGCAUGGUUCAAUAGUGAAAGACGGUUUUGCUGUCACUUAUAGAUGGAUCCGCGCCGCAUUAGCUAGUUGGUAAGGUAACGGCUUACCAAGGCAACGAUGCGUAGCCGACCUGAGAGGGUGAUCGGCCACCCUGGAACUGAGACACGGUCCAGACUCCUACGGGAGGCAGCAGUAGGGAAUCUUCCGCAAUGGGCGAAAGCUUGACGGAGCAACGCCGCGUGAGUGAUGAAGGUCUUCGGAUCGUAAAACUCUGUUAUUAGGGAAGAACAAAUGUGUAAGUAACUAUGCACGUAUUGACGGUACCUAAUCAGAAAGCCACGGCUAACUACGUG
rnacentral:rRNA from 1 species